rnacentral:lncRNA from 1 species
GUAAAAUACUAAUCUUAAGAGCCACAAGGAAGAACUGAAGAAAGGAAGACCUGCUGUUGCUUUUCAGGACCAAAAACAUCUUAGUCCAGGUACAAAAGGACACUAACGUACCUUCACAGUCAAGGUCUAGCAAGACAAGCAUAACUCAUUUACUGUGGUACGACAACAAAUAUUAAAGAGGGAAGUUUUGCAUAUUGGUAAGUCUGUGGAUCAUAAUGUUCUUACACUUCUUUAAAAAUAAAAAAUAAAUGUAAAAUGAA